rnacentral:misc_RNA from 1 species
AACAACUGGAACAAUUGACUUCAUUACCAAUUCCGGCCUCAUUACACCCAUCGACGCUACUCCUACCCCACUCUUCGCUGUACCAUAAGCUGCACCCAUACAGGAGAAGACUAAGGCAGCUGCAGCGCCGAGGAAGCCAAAAAACGGUGCCGUUUCAUCGCCGCUAAACGUAGAAGCCAUUUUUAUCUUCUUCGAAUUGGGAAAUUGAAGUGAUUUGCGAUCUGAGUGUUUAUUGGAAUCGAU